rnacentral:lncRNA from 1 species
AAAACUGUUUGUGAUAUUUAUAAAAUAUUCAGAUAUUUAUAAUAAUGUUCAUGCUAUUUUACCUAAUUUUCGGGCAAUGUUAGAAGAUGUCCAUAACUUAUAAAAAAUGUUCAUGGGUCCCAAAGAUAUGUUAAUAGAAUUUUAGAGACUAUUAUACAAUGUUACAAAAUGUGUUUGCAUUCUUUGAAAAACUGUUUCAUGCCAUAUCAAAUUUUGAUGACAUUUGAAAAAAUUGUAACACUUCAGAAAUAUUUGCAAAUUUAAAGCAAUUAUGACAUUUAUGAACAAUGUAUGUAAAUAAUGUUCACAGUGUAUUAAAAAAAUAUUGAAUGUGCAUUUGACAAAUGUUCAAAUGCAUUUUAGAAAAAUAUUUUACGUAUAUCUUAAAAGUGUCAACAUGUAUACGAAGAUGUCCAAUGUGUUUCUGCAAAUAGUUCACAUAUAUUUGAAAAAUACGAAACCUGAUAAAAUGAGUAAAAAAUAAUAAAACGAAAAGAAGAAAUAGAAAACAAAUACUCGAUGAUAGCAGAUUCAUAAAACACACAGAUGAACAAAGAGGGAAAAAAAAUACCAUGUGGACCCUUCUAAAAACGGUCUGAACCGGUUCAUAGAAGUGUCCCAACAACACACGUUAUCGGACAGCUUGCUAGACCUCGCAGCAGAGGCGAGACGAACUAUUAGGACACACAAGGAGCGAUCACCCGAUUUGGUGGCCCCUGCCUGAUAUUACAAUUACCUUGAUGACUUUCUUUUAGUUUUCAGUCAUUUUUCCAACGAACAAAUUGGCUUUUCAAAUUUUUACAGAUUUAAAGAUUAUUAAUAGCUUGUUCAAAUGAACGUUCAUGAAUUCAAAAAUCCUAAAUCCAA